rnacentral:rRNA from 1 species
GACAGAGGGUGCAAGCGUUGUUCGGAAUUAUUGGGCGUAAAGGGCGCGUAGGCGGUCUUGUAAGUCAGAUGUGAAAGCCCAGGGCUCAACCUUGGAAGUGCAUCUGAAACUGCGAGACUAGAGUAUCGGAGAGGGUGGUGGAAUUCCCAGUGUAGAAGUGAAAUUCGUAGAUAUUGGGAGGAACACCAGUGGCGAAGGCGACCACCUGGCCGAUAACUGACGCUGAGGCGCGAAAGCGUGGGGAUCAAACAGG